GUUGGGCAGCUGUACCUCCAGCUUCUACUGCAAGUGCCUGCAGGAUCAUGUUGUGGAAUAGUAGUAGCCUGAACAAUUCCAGCCUGAGGUUUCAACGUUGCUAAAGCUUCUCUGGCUGCAGUUACUUCUUUUGUUAAUCUAGCAAUUACACGGCAUGCUGCAUCAUGUUGAUAUAAAGAAUGAGAUAGCUCCUGUCUAGCUGUUUGAAGUUGUUGCCUAAGCGUAAAUGAAUGUAACAUAACAGCAUCCCACUCAUCUUGUAAAAUUUUCAAUAUAGCUGGAAUUGAUGUGGCACUUGGUGGUUUAGGUUUAACUAUUGCAGUUGCUGCAAAACAACAAGAAUAUUAUUGAUAACUGGAUGUUGUAUUCAAAGACAAAUAUAUACAGAAACAAGAAAUAUACUUUUGAUAUCAAUAA